rnacentral:rRNA from 1 species
CCCCCAGACUCCUACGGGAGGCAGCAGUAGGGAAUUUUCGUCAAUGGGCGCAAGCCUGAACGAGCGAUGCCGCGUGAGUGAAGAAGGCCUUCGGGUCGUAAAUCUCUGUUGCGGGGGAAAAAAGGCAUCUGCAGGAAAUGGUAGAUGACAGAUGGUGCCCCGCCAGAAAGUCACGGCUAACUACGUGCCAGCAGCCGCGGUAAUACGUAGGUGGCGAGCGUUAUCCGGAAUGAUUGGGCGUAAAGGGUGCGCAGGCGGUCCUGCAAGUCUGGAGUGAAACGUAUGAGCUCAACUCAUGCAUGGCUCGGGAAACUGGAGGACUGGAGAGCAGGAGAGGGCGGUGGAACUCCAUGUGUAGCGGUAAAAUGCGUAGAUAUAUGGAAGAACACCAGUGGCGAAGGCGGCCGCCUGGCCUGUUGCUGACGGUGAGGCACGAAAGCGUGGGGAGCAAAUAGGAUUAGAUACCCGUA